UUAAUGCUCUUCAAUAAUUAAUAUCUUUAAAGUGACUGAAGAAUCAAAGAAACUUGUUGAGGAAAAAAUACACAUUUCAAUUACCAAACGUGAAAAAGAGCAGGUGGCUGAGCCAGCUGUUAAAGUGCCCGUGAUGCCCAAGAGAGUUGUCACAGAAGAAAAAGUGCUUGUUCCUAAAAAAGAAGUAACAGCACCUGUUAGAGUGCCAGAAGUACCAAAAAGGCAAGAACCAGAAGAGAUUGUCUAUGAAGAGGAAGUUGUAACCCAAGUAGAAGAAUAUUUUGAAGAAGAAGAAGAAGAAGAAUACAUUCAUGAAGAAGAGGAAUUCAUAACUGAAGAAGAAGUCGUACCAGUGAUACCAGUCAAAGUGCCUGAGAUACCCAAGAAACCUGUACCAGAAGAGAAGAAACCUGUUCCUGUUCCCAAAAAGAAGGAAGCCCCACCAGCAAAAGGUAUAACCACCAUUUGCAAACAUGGGCAUAUAAAAAAAAGCCUUAAUCUGCACAGAAAUUGUUAG
rnacentral:lncRNA from 1 species